UCCCUGAUGGUCUAGUGAUUAAGACUCCACACUUUCGAUGCAGGGAAUGUGGGUUCAAUCCCUGGUCUGGGAA
rnacentral:tRNA from 1 species